rnacentral:rRNA from 2 species
GGCUAACUGAUCGAGCGAAGGAUCCGUACCUCUUCUAUAAUUUCGCCGCGGAGGGGAGAAUCACAUGGGUACCCUCUGUGUGUAACAGUGGGAUCUCCCCGGAAACCCGGCUCUUAUACCGUAUAACCUUUUCCCUCGCGUACAGAAAUUUGAAACAUGGUUUCCUCUAUCUUUUACAUAUGGCCCCGCCGCGCUUUCUCUAUUUGGAGAUGUAAGGGCUCCCCAGGGCCAAUAUGCAUACCCGACCUGAGAGGGUGAUCGGCCACUCUGGGACUGACACACGGCCCACACUCCUACGGGAGGCAGCAGUAGGGAAUCUUCCGCAGUGGACGAAAGUCUGACGGAGCAACCCCGCGUGAGUGAUGAAGGCUUUCGGGUCGUAAAUCUCUGUUGUUAGGGAAAAACAAGUACAAGAAUAACUGCUUGUCCCUUGACGGUACCUAACCAAAAACCCACGGCUAUCUACGUGCCCACCCCCGCGGAAAUACGUAUGUGGCACGCUUUCUCCAAAAUUAUUGGGCGUAACGCGCGCGCGGGCGGUUUCUUAAAUCUUAUGUGAACCCCCCGUCUCAAGCGUGGAGGGUCCGUGGAAAGUGGGAUUUUUGAGUGCAAA